ACCUACAUCAAAUUAAAUGAUUAAGUAAGCAAAUACUCAAAUAAUUAAUAAAAUAAUAAUAAUAAUAAUAAUAAUAAUAAUAAUUAUAAUAAUAAUAAUAAUAAUAAUAAUAAUAAUAAUAAUAAUAAUUUAAUCAAACUUGGCCACCAAGUUUGUAAAUCAAGUAUUUAAUGAUUCUUUGAUAUUUUCCACAUCCUUCCCUCUCUCCCAUGAAUCUCUCUCCCACUCCCUAAAUAUCUCCCACCAUUCCCUCUAUAUUUUUUCUUUUUAAAAAAAUAAAAAUAAAAAUAAAUAAUCUUUCUCUCUAUCUCUGCAAUCAAGAUUCAAGAAGAGAAGACUUUUCCUCUCAACCUUAAUUCAAGAGACCGAGAACCCAACCCGACGGGGGGAAACUACCGUUCAUUCGCUAAGAAUUUGCUCAAAAUCCGUUCAAGGUUAUCUCCGCGAGUAAGGUCGGAGUAAGAAAUUCAAGUUAAAGGAACUAAACGAACAAGGUUGAGCAGCGAAGUGGUGGAGGAAGUGCUAUUGAGACAAGACAUUUAAUUCAGUCAGAUUUUG